UGCAAGUCGAACGGUAACAGGCCCUUCGGGGUGCUGACGAGUGGCGGACGGGUGAGUAAUGCGUAGGAAUCUACCCACGAGUGGGGGAUAGCCCGGAGAAAUCCGGAUUAAUACCGCAUAUGCCCUACGGGGUAAAGCGGGGGAUCGUAAGACCUCGCGCUGGUGGAUGAGCCUACGUCCGAUUAGUUAGUUGGUGGGGUAAAGGCCUACCAAGGCUACGAUCGGUAGCUGGUCUGAGAGGACGACCAGCCACACUGGGACUGAGACACGGCCCAGACUCCUACGGGAGGCAGCAGUGGGGAAUAUUGGACAAUGGGGGAAACCCUGAUCCAGCAAUGCCGCGUGGGCGAUGACGGCCUUCGGGUUGUAAAGCCCUUUUGGUGGGAAAGAAAAGCGGAGCGCUAAUAUCGUUCCGUAUUGACGGUACCCACAGAAUAAGCACCGGCAAACUCCGUGCCAGCAGCCGCGGUAAGACGGGGGGUGCAAGCGUUAAUCGGAAUUACUGGGCGUAAAGCGCACGUAGGCGGUUGAAUAAGUCGGUUGUGAAAUCCCCGGGCUUAACCUGGGAA
rnacentral:rRNA from 1 species